UACGUAGGGACCAAGCGUUGUUCGGAUUUACUGGGCGUAAAGGGCGCGUAGGCGGCGCGGUAAGUCACUUGUGAAAUCUCUGAGCUUAACUCAGAACGGCCAAGUGAUACUGCAGUGCUAGAGUGUGGAAGGGCAAUCGGAAUUCUUGGUGUAGCGGUGAAAUGCGUAGAUAUCAAGAGGAACACCUGAGGUGAAGACGGGUUGCUGGUCCAGCACCGGACGUUCAGGCACGAAAGCGUGGGGAGCAAACAGGG
rnacentral:rRNA from 1 species